rnacentral:misc_RNA from 1 species
CCCAUUCCUGUACACACACACACACAAGCUCUGCCAUUUCGCCUCGAGAGGCACGCACACAGAUAGGCAGCUACAGCCAACGGGCACCGAAUCAUUUUCUGCAGCGACGAUGGUCUUGGCAGAGCUGGGUCAGAAAAUCGGGCAGGCGAUCCAUCGCAUGUCCGCCAAGUCGAUGCUGGGUGAGGAUGACGUGAAGGAGCUGAUGAACGAGAUCGCGCGUGCGCUGCUGCAAGCAGACGUGAACGUCACCAUUGUGAAAAAGCUUCAGGUGAGCAUCAAGACGGAGCUGGCGCUAGCGGAGGAGGGCGCUGGGCUGAACAAGCGCAAGAUCCUUCAGAACGCUGUCUUCAACGGCCUCAAGCGCAUCCUCGACCCCGGGGUGAAGCCGUUCAUACCGGUGAAGGGGAAGCAAAAUGUUGUGAUGUUUGUGGGCCUGCAAGGGUCCGGCAAGACGACAUCGUGCACGAAGUACGCCGUCUACUUUCAGCGCAAGGGUUUCAAAACGGCGCUGGUGUGCGCCGACACGUUCCGCGCUGGCGCGUACGAUCAGCUGCGUCAGAACGCGACCAAGGCCAAGGUACGCUUUUACGGGUCAUUGACGGAGGCAGACCCGGUAGCGAUCGCCAAGGAAGGUGUGGCAGAACUCAAGAAGGAGAAGUACGACCUCAUCAUCGUAGACACAAGUGGACGCCAUAAGCAGGAGUCGGCGCUCUUCGAGGAGAUGAAGCAGGUCGAGGAAGCCGUGAAGCCGAACGACAUAGUCUUCGUCAUGUCCGCGACAGACGGCCAGGCGGUAGAGGAGCAAGCACGCAACUUCAAGGAAAUGGUUGCUGUCGGGUCGGUCAUUGUCACGAAGCUAGACUGCCAGACCAAGGGCGGCGGUGCGCUCUCCGCCGUGGCGGCGACGCGCAGCCCCAUCGUCUUCAUCGGCACCGGCGAGCACUUCGAGGACUUCGACCUCUUUAAUCCGGAGCGGUUUGUGCAGAAGAUGUUGGGCAUGGGCGACAUAGGCGGGCUGAUGGACACGAUGCGCGACGCCAACAUCGACGGCAACGAGGAGGUCUACAAGCGCCUGCAGGACGGCCUGUUCACAAUGCGUGACAUGUACGAGCAUCUGCAGAACGUGCUCAAGAUGGGCUCCGUUGGUAAAAUCAUGGAAAUGCUGCCCGGGAUGUCGGGCCACGCCGCUACGGCGGGUCAGCAGGGCGACAUUGCGCUGAAGGGGUUUAUCCACAUGCUAGACAGCAUGACGGUCGCCGAGCUGGAUGAAGCCAAGGUGAAGAAGAUGAUGACACCAUCCCGCAUGCACCGCAUCGCGCGCGGCAGCGGCCACUCCGUCGUCGAGGUGCAGAACCUGAUUAUUAGCUACACGAAGUUUGAGGAGAUCGUGAAGAAGAUGGGCAAGAUAAACUUCAAGGCCAUGAUGCAGGACUCCUCCGGCCCCGCCGCGGGGCACAUGGGGCAACAGCAGAUGGGUCAGCUGGCGAAGCUGCUCAACCCGAACAUGCUACGGCAGAUCGGCGGCGUGGGUGGACUGCAGGGGAUGAUGAAGCAGCUUCAGCAGAGCAUGGGUGGUGGUGCGGGCGGCGCAGGCGGGAUGCCAGAUAUGUCUGCCAUGGCAAACAUGAUGCAGAUGAUGCAGCAGCAUCAGAAACCGCCGCGGCGGUGAAGGAUGGCGGGUGAGAAAGCGAAUGGCACGACAAGACGUCGUGCAGUUGUGCGCUGUUGAGCUGCGUGCUUGGCCGGUACCGUGAUGUGUGGCUUUUGCGGAGGCCGUGGCGCCGUCUCUGUUUCGGCCUUCUUUUGGUUGAAUGGUAGUGCGAACUCUUUUAUUCUCCCACUGCUGCUGCUUCCUUUCGCUGUGGCGCACGCCUGCGACGACGGGGCGCCGCUGUCUUCCGCGUUGUGUGUGUGUGUGUGUGUGUGUGUGUGUGUGUGUGUGUGUGUGUAUGUACGUGUAUUGUAUGCGUGUUUGAUUGUUGCUGUGUAAGUGUUUUCUGUCGCUGUUGAAGAAGGCUUUGCGAAGCCCUCGCUACGGUGCGUGCGUCAUGGUGCUGUGAUAGGCAGCACCACUGCGCCCCUUCUAGGACUAAUCUCCUACUGGAGGCUCUAACGACGGCAACAAAGGCAUAACGUACACAGCAGCCGAGGGCUAUCGAUGUGUUGGGCGGUUUUGAAUAGCCCUUCCGUACUUGCGCAGGCGGCCAUUUCCUGCACCUCCUUUUCGUGUGGCGUGUCGCUUUCUACCGCGGGUGUCUGCGACGGUGGUAGUGCUGUUGAUGAGGCUUUCACUCUCGGCUCCUCGGCGUCUCUACCACUCUCUCCCUUGUAUGCAACGGCGGGCGGGGGUAAGGAGGGGGCCGAAACUGCAGCAUCUCGCCCACAUGAGCACGCGUGUGUCUAUUAAGAAUCCGUGAUGUAAGAGGCGUGCUACCAAUAGUGUGCAGAGUUGUGGCUGUUGCUGGUGUGAUGAAUACUUUAGUGGCACAGGGCUACACACGAUCUUGCUUCUGUUUCUCUCUUGCCAUGCAUGGAUGCCUCCGAGUUGGCAUCGCCUCCACCAG